CCUACGGGUGGCAGCAGUGGGGGAUAUUGCACAAUGGGGGAAACCCUGAUGCAGCGACGCCGCGUGAGUGAAGAAGUAUUUCGGUAUGUAAAGCUCUAUCAUCAGGGAAGAAUAUGACAGUACCUGACCAAGAAGCCCCGGCUAACUACGUGCCAGCAGCCGCGGUAAUACGGAGGGGGCAAGCGUUAUCCGGAUUUACUGGGUGUAAAGGGAGCGUAGACGGUGAUGUAAGUCUGGAGUGAAAUCCCGGGGCUCAACCCCGGAACUGCUUUGGAAACUGUGUAACUGGAGUACAGGAGGGGUAGGCGGAAUUCGUGGUGUAGCGGUGAAAUGCGUAGAUAUCAGGAGGAACAC
rnacentral:rRNA from 1 species